CGGGGGAUAACUAUUGGAAACGAUAGCUAAUACCGCAUGAAAUUGCUUAUCGCAUGAUAAUUAAUUGAAAGAUGCAAUUGCAUCACUACCAGAUGGACCUGCGUUGUAUUAGCUAGUUGGUGAGGUAACGGCUCACCAAGGCGACGAUACAUAGCCGACCUGAGAGGGUGAUCGGCCACACUGGGACUGAGACACGGCCCAG
rnacentral:rRNA from 1 species